rnacentral:rRNA from 1 species
CUACGGAGGAUGCAAGCGUUAUCCGGAUUUAUUGGGUUUAAAGGGUGCGUAGGCGGUUUGCUAAGCGGGAGGUGAAAUGCCGGGGCUCAACGUCGGAAGUGCCUCCCGAACUGGUGGACUUGAAUGACUCUGCCGUGGGAGGAAUGGGUAGUGUAGCGGUGAAAUGCUUAGAGAUUACACAGAACACCGAUUGCGAAGGCAUCUCACGAAGGGUUGAUUGACGCUGAGGCACGAAAGCGUGGGGAUCAAACAGGAUUAGAUACCCUGGUAGUCCACGCAGUAAACGAUGAUGGCUAACCGCUGGGCUUAUCAGUUCAGUGGCCAAGCGAAAGCGAUAAGCCAUCCACCUGGGGAGUACGACCGCAAGGUUGAAACUCAAAGGAAUUGGCGGGG